rnacentral:rRNA from 1 species
CCCGUUGUACACACCGCCCGUCACACCACGGAAGCAAGCAACACCCGAAGCCGGUGGCCUAACCCGCAAGGGAGGGAGCUGUCGAAGGUGGGGCUCGUGACUGGGUG